rnacentral:rRNA from 1 species
UACGUAGGUGGCGAGCGUUAUCCGGAAUUAUUGGGCGUAAAGAGCGCGCAGGUGGUUGAUUAAGUCUGAUGUGAAAGCCCACGGCUUAACCGUGGAGGGUCAUUGGAAACUGGUCGACUUGAGUGCAGAAGAGGGAAGUGGAAUCCAUGUGUAGCGGUGAAAUGCGUAGAGAUAUGGAGGAACACCAGUGGCGAAGGCGGCUUCCGUGGUCUGAUAACUGACACUGAGGCGCGGAAAGCGUGGGGAGCAAACAGG